GACGAACGCUGGCGGCGUGCUUAACACAUGCAAGUCGAACGGAAAGGCCCUGCUUUUGUGGGGUGCUCGAGUGGCGAACGGGUGAGUAACACGUGAGUAACCUGCCCUUGACUUUGGGAUAACUUCAGGAAACUGGGGCUAAUACCGGAUAGGAGCUCCUGCUGCAUGGUGGGGGUUGGAAAGUUUCGGCGGUUGGGGAUGGACUCGCGGCUUAUCAGCUUGUUGGUGGGGUAGUGGCUUACCAAGGCUUUGACGGGUAGCCGGCCUGAGAGGGUGACCGGCCACAUUGGGACUGAGAUGCGGCCCGGACUCCUACGGGAGGCAGCAGUGGGGAAUAUUGCACGAUGGGCGGAAGCCUGAUGCAGCAACGCCGCGUGCGGGAUGACGGCCUUCGGGUUGUAAACCGCUUUCGCCUGUGACGAAGCGUGAGUGACGGUAAUGGGUAAAGAAGCACCGGCUAACUACGUG
rnacentral:rRNA from 1 species